GGAUGUGAGGGUGAUCUGGCUGCGACAUCUGUCACCCCAUUGAUCACCAGGGUUGAUUUGGCUGACCUGGCUAGCUAGGCGGGUGUCCCCCUCCUCCCUCACCGCUCCAUGUGCGUCCCUCCCGAAGCUGUGCGCUCGGUCGAAGAGGAUGAACUUCCCCGACAGAGGAGGACCGUUCUUCAGUCAAGGGUAUAUGAGUAGCUGCGCUCCCCUGCUAGAACCUCCAAACAAGCUCUCAAGGUCCAUUUGUAGGAGAACGUAGGGUAGUCAAGCUUCCAAGACUCCAGACACAUCCAAAUGAGGCGCUGCACGUGGCAGUCUGCCUAAG
rnacentral:snRNA from 1 species